rnacentral:lncRNA from 1 species
GCAGCCAUGUAAGAGGUGCCUUUUGCUUUCUCCCAUGAUUGUGAGACCUCCCAACCACAUGGAACUUGAGCCCUGAAGCAUGGCAUUGAGAAGCUGCCUAAGAAGGAGGCAGAUCCAUCAGCCUGGGUGCCCGACUGAUUACCCUGAGCAGAGCUCCCCAGCCCACCUGUGAUGGACGCAUGGAGCUUGAGCAAGGAAUAAAUAUUCGUUGCUUCCUGAGAACCCCACUGCGGAUGAGAACAAACGUUUGUUCGGCUGACCCUUUCUCAGAUCCCGCCCACUGAGAAGUGACAGUCCCUCCUCUCCCCGCCUCUCCCUGACCCCCAGCUCUCCGCGGCGGGAUCUGAGCCCUCUCCUGCUGGACUUGUGGUACUUGCUGAACAAUCUCGUGUUGUUGUCUGCCCGCUGGGAGAGAACACUGAUAAGAGAGGCGAUUAGGUGACUAAAUCUGCUGGCUGCCCUUACACAAUGCCAGCAGGGACUCUGAUUACACUGGACCUAUCCAAGAUCUGAGAUCAUCAACUCAUCUCAAAAUCCUUAAGCUGACCACAGCAGCAUCGUCCCUUUUGCAGUGUAAGGGAGCCCAGCUGGGACAAUGUGUGAAUCAACGCAUGAAGGAGUGAGUGAGCAGCUAACCAAAUGAAAGAAUACUCAGAUAUCUGGGGUACAGUUCCCCUCCAGGUUUGCACAGCAUCUGCUGAAGUCUCCACUAGAAACUCAAUGGAAGGUCCCCACCGGAAACUGAAAGUCUCCUAGAGUGGCUUUGAGUUGCGGUUUCACCCUCCCUGCAGAUCCACAGGGGAGGCUGGGGCAGAUGGAAAAUACCAACUUGAUGGUCUGUGGCCACACCAUGCUGCUCCCCAAGGCCCCUCAGAAUUUCACUGCCCAAUAUGGUAGCGCCCAGCCUGAAACGUGGCCAGUGUGAAUUGAGAUGGGCUGGAAAUGCACCAGACUUCCAAGAGCUGGACAAAAACCAUAUACUUUCCAUCCAGCUGUUUGGCAUUGGAUACUGCUGCCUCUGCUUGACUUGAGAAUGUGUGAGAAAAGCUGUGUUUAGACAACUGAAAACCAUGAGCUUGAAAGUAGUGGGGGCACACUCUUGGAGACUCCAGUUGCUCACCAGCUUGGACAAACCACUGGACUCAAAUGAUCAGAGAAGGAACACAGGCUCAGACAUCAGUGCCAUAUCUGAAGACAUUCAGCUAAUAACAGGAUGGAGUCCAAUCUGAAACAACUGUCACGCUGAGCCUAAUUGCUGAAGAUGGUUGAAGGCACCAGGAGGCUGGAGUUUCCUGGAGGUGGUUUGUGGCCAACCGUCAAUUACUUGGGCUGCUGUGCAGUGGGGAUAGAAGGAUGAUUAGAAUCCACAGACAACCCAUUGGCCUUUGUUUACCAUUAACUUCUGUUUUCUCCACCAGCCAAGCUCCUCCAGACCCAGGAGAUGGCUCUUCCCUCUGUGUAGCACACUCUUUCCAGUCAAGGGGUCUUGCACUGCUAUUUCCCCUUCUGCUUUGCUUGGUUCAUUCUUACUGACCCUCCAAAUACUGAAGGAAUGAAUGGAGAAAUAAGUAAAUGAGAGAUGUGGCCAAGAGUCUCCAAGAGAGGAAAUUAAAAAAUCCUAUACCUGUGAGGAACUGGCCCACUUGCAAAAGGCGGACUCAUUUGUCACUGUGUUUGCUGGCUGCUCGCACCACACAGUUUCCAGCCUAGGCAUUAUUUCCAACCUCUUUUUCCAAAGGGUCUUUCUAAGGUACAGAAAAUGGACAUAAAAUCGCCCAACGUAGUUGAGAGGUAAGGAGUAAAAGCCGGAAUUUGAACUCCUAAUCUCCUGCCACGAUUUCAUGCUGCCUCUGGGUAAUCUCCCAGCACGUUGCUUAAUCAGCUGCUGAGUCAUUGAGAGCCGGCAGAACCAGCUUCCUGCUGAGGCAGAGUGGGAGGAGGCCCGUCUGGGAGCAGCACACUGAAGGAAGGGAGGAGGAGGUGAUGUUUGGCACAAUCGGAUUGGUUCCCAUGAGGUCCAGGGCUGCGGCUCCUACAGAAGGCACUUUUUGCAUAUGGUAGGCUUCACGGGGUGCAACCUCUGUGUUGUUAGGAGAACCUCGUGCUUGCUAUGAUGCUCUGCUGUCAUUAUCUUGAAAUUCUUAGUCACAUUAAAACACGGGAGCCUACAUGUUUAUUUUGCACUGGAUCCUGCAAAUUAGCCAGUCCUGGUACUGAGGGCAGGUCCCUGGGUGAGUCUCACACAGCCUCCAUCCUUUGGUAAAGCAGCUUUCCUGAUUUAGCAAAUGCCUUACCAGAAAGCCUUUUCCUUGAAGAUGCUUUAACUUUUGUCUUCCCUGGCAAAGCUGUUUCCUUAUGGUAAAGCACCCAGCUCAUAGCUGAUAUUCAAUCCAUGAAGUAGCUCUGUCAGCAGCUGUCAUCAUGAAGACUUUGCAGCCUGCGGGUGGUAGCAUUCUGAAUCGUCAGUCUGUCUCGCUCCUGUAGCAAAUGCACGAUCCGGGAAAGCAUGUCCCAAGCUUUGUUCUGGAGAAGAUUUCUCCAGCUAUCAGAUGGUGUCUGUCAUCACAAUAGCUUAGGAGAUGCUGCUCACUCCAUCCUCCUCACUAAGUGUCACAGUACACUUGGGUAUGUACAAGUCUCUGAGAAGUCCAGCAGCAAAGACACCUUUGUGUUUUGCUGAUUCUAGCCUUUCCUAGACUAGAAGUCUUUUUUUCUAGUCUAGGAAAAGACUGUGGAAUCUUUUCUUUUUUUUCCUGAUACACACAUUCACAUUCCGUGGAACAUUUAGGACGUGGUUAUCUGGUCCUAAAGUAGUAAAGGUGAAGAUGUUGUGGGAGGUGCAAGAAAGAGCAGCAAGGAGUAGAUGGGGCACACUGCAAAGUGCGAUCCCCACAUACCUAAGUUAGUAUCAAUUACUACUAACAAAACUCGGCCAAGACUCUUUUGCAUUCGUUUUGUUUCUCUCUUUUACCCUGAUUAUAUUAAGAAAUAUGACAGGCCUGUGACUCACUGAUUAGACCAUCUUAGUCACUUUGGGUUGUCCCAGCAACAGGAGACUUAACUCUGACCAUAGGUAAGGAGCCCAGAGGACAGGAGAGCAGGGAUUUCUGAGGAUUUAACAAAUGCUUAUAAACAAAUGAUAUCACUUUGAACAAAGUAAUCAAAGUAUCAAAUGCUAUAAACACCACAGUAGGGCAAUGUGUGAAUCAUACUUGUGGUGAGACAUACAUAGAUCAGCUGCAAAGAGGAACUCAAUUCUGCAGAACCUCAGCUGGAGUAACUGAUGUGAAACAUGGACAGGGAAAUGGAAGGAAGUCAGCGGACACGGAAACUCUAGGAACUGAACUUUGACAAGGAACGCCGUCCAUAAUCCCAAGUCCUAUGACUUCAUAGAGGAAAAAAACCCUAGUGGAGCAGAACAGGGCCUCAUAGAGGGGCUGGGGCCUCACUGAGGGCUGGGAAGUUUGAUAGGACUUCCCUUGCUGGUAAGGAACAAAACUGGGUCUCAGGUUCAGGUUUGUAAAGCUAAUUUCAUACAUUUGCAGCAGAUGCUGUCAGUGUCCCUCCCCAAGCCCCUCAGCACUCAGCAUUCAUAGACAUCCUCAUCUUGCAAGCACCUGAGUCUCUCUCUGUAAGGUUUCUGUUGGCCUCAGGGCAGACCAGGGUACCAGGGAGGGCAGACCAGGGUACCAGGGAGCACAGCCCUCAAAGAAAGAUGACAGGAGUUGGUGUAAAUCUCAUGGCUUUCAUGUUACUUAGGGGGACCAAUGCUGAGGCAUGCUUAGCAUGAUCCUCUGUGAGACUGGGCCUCAGGUGUCCGCUGCAGCCGCCUGUUCAUUAGUGUGACAUGCACGGGAUUCCUUCCGUAUCCUGGCCCCUUUCUCUACUUCCCAACCGUGCUUCCUGAGACAUACUCAAAUCCUUGUCUCACACUUGGCUUCUGGGAGAAUCCAACUGCAAAUGCUGUGUUUUAUUUUUUAUUUAUGUAUUUAAUUAUUUGGAGAUAGGGUCUCCCUCUGUCACCCAGGCUGGAGUAAAAUGGCACAAUCCUAGCUCACUGCAAUAUUAAACUCCUGGGCUCCAGUAAUCCUCAGCCUCCAGGAGCUGGAACUACAGUCGUGCACAGCAAUGCCAGCUAAAGUUUCCUUUAAAUUUUUUGUAGAGUCAAGAUCUCACUAUUUCAGUCAGGUCUUGAACUCCUUGCCUCCCAAAGUUCUGGGAUUACAGCACUUGGCCUCCCAAAGUGCUGGGAUUACAGGCGUGAGCCACUGCAUCUGGCUGUUUAUUCCAUUAAAAUGAUUGAAGGAGUCUCUUGCUUUGGGAAUUUUGCUCCCGUGGUGAGAACACUAUGGGAAUGACAUCUCAAGAAUAUGGCUCCUUCAAAUGAAUUUAAAAUGGUCUUUCUAUUUUUGUCCAGUGGUUACAAUAGCUGAUGGGCUCGAGGUAAGGAGAUGCUAAGCUGCCAUUCUCUCCUUCAACCCAUGGCAUUUACUGAGCUUCUAAAUCAGUCAGGCCCUGGGCUGGACCCUGGGCAUGCAGACUGAAUCAGAGCCUUCAGGACUAGCAGGAGAGACAGGUAUAUAUAGUGGCAAGGGCAAUAUUUAUUCACUCAUUCAUUCUUUUUCCUUUUUUAUGUGCCAAAUCUUUAAUGAGGGCCUACCUUGUACUCAGGAACACCAGGAAUAAACAGAAAACAAAAAGAUAUCAUUUCUGGACUCAGUUCACCAUCUAGAGAAAAAAAAAAAAAAAAAAAAAGACCUGAAAUGGACAAAUACAGUACUGUUUGACAAAUGUCACGUAAGAAGAAGCCCAUGAUACUGAGGAUGGUAUAGGAGGGGCCGUAUCCAGGUUGAAGGAGUCAAAUAUGACAGCUGCCGUGAGAAUUACAAUCAGAAAACCAUGACCCGGAUGCUUAUCCUAUUCAUUGCUUGAGCCUGAGAACACAAACACACAGGGUGUGGCUGAAAUUCCUCUGAAAUUGUAUUGAUUUGAGAAAACUGCAAUCUUGUGUUAAAAUGUGAAUCAUACACAAGGAUGCAAAACAGUUACCGCUGACCAUAAAUCUAGGCUAUCAGAAUGGAAUCUGAUGGCUUGUCUACCAGACUGCAUUGUGAAACCAAUCAAAUGGGAGAUAGACUCACCACUUACCAAGUACCUCUGAGACACCAGGCACCCUGUGGGGUGCCCUACUCAUCAUCUUGUUUAACCAGUUGAUUGGGAAUAGCUCCAUUUUACAGAGAAAGACUGUUAGGCAGCUUUCUAAGAUGGCCCUAAUUAUUCCUUCCUUCUGGUAAUCCCCUUCCUUUAAAUGUGGGCUACACUUAAUUACCUGCUUUUAACAAACAGAAUAUAGCAAAAGUGAUGGGAUGUCAGGAGACUGAAUCAGUAACCAAAAACCUCCAGACAAAGAAAAGCCCAGGGCCAGAGGGCUUCACUGGUAAAUUUACCAAACAUUUAAAGAAGAAUUAGCACCAGUCUUUCUCAAACUCCUCAACAAAUUGAAGAGGAGAGAACACUUCUAAAUACACUUUAUGAGGCCAGCAUUACCCUAACAUCAGAGCCAGACAAAGACACAAGAAAAGAAAACUACAGACUAAUAUUUCUAAUGAAUCUUGAUGCACAAAUCCUCAAAAAAGAAGAAAACAUACUAGCAAACAUAAUUCAGCCGCACAUUAAAAGGAUUAAGCACCAUGACAAAGUGGGAUUUAUUCUUAGUAUAAAAGGAUAUUUCAACGUAAAAAAGUCAAUGUAAUAUAUCACAUUAAUAGAAUGAUGAGAAAAAAUCCACAAGAUUAUCCCAAUUGAUGCAUUUAACAAAACUUAAUACUCUUUCAUGAAAAAACACUCAACAAACCAGGAAUACAUGAAACUACCCCAACAUAAGACAGUCCACAAAUGAAAAGCUCACAACCAACAUAAUACUCAUGGUGAAAAGCUGAAAGCUUCCUCUAAGAUCAGGAAUGAGACAAAAAUGUCCACUUUUGAAUCAACCUGUAUUCAACAUAGUAUAAGAAGUCCUCGCCAGAAUUUUCAGGAAAAAAAAAAAAGAAAGAAAAAAAAGCCAGUCAAAUUGAAAAGAAAGAAGAAAAAUUAUCUUUGCUCACAAAUGACAUGAACUUAUAAAACUCCUAGAAUUAAUAAAUGGAUGCUGCAAUGUUGAAGGAUACAAAAAUCAACACACAAAAAUCAGUUAUGUUUUUAUAUACUAACAAUGAAUGAGCCAAAAAUGAAAUUAAAACAAUUCCAUUUACAAUAGCAUCAGAAAGACUAAAAUACCUAACAAUAAACUUAACCAAGGAGGUAAAAUGCUUGAGUAUUUAGACACUAAAAAUUAUAAGGCCUGCACGGUGGUUCAUACCUGUAAUCCCAGCAUUUUGGGAGGCAGGUGGAUCACUUGAGGUUAGGAGUUUGAGACCAGCCUGGCC